CGUGUGCUUACAAGUAGUCAGAGCCCGUUAAUGGGUGAUGGCGUGCCUUUUGUAGAAUGAACCGGCGAGUUACGAUUUGAUGCAAGGUUAAGCAGUAAAUGUGGAGCCGUAGCGAAAGCGAGUCUGAAUAGGGCGUUUAGUAUUUGGUCGUAGACCCGAAACCAGGUGAUCUACCCUUGGUCAGGUUGAAGUUCAGGUAACACUGAAUGGAGGACCGAACCGACUUACGUUGAAAAGUGAGCGGAUGAACUGAGGGUAGCGGAGAAAUUCCAAUCGAACCUGGAGAUAGCUGGUUCUCUCCGAAAUAGCUUUAGGGCUAGCCUCAAGUGAUGAUUAUUGGAGGUAGAGCACUGUUUGGACGAGGGGCCCCUCUCGGGUUACCGAAUUCAGACAAACUCCGAAUGCCAAUUAAUUUAACUUGGGAGUCAGAACAUGGGUGAUAAGGUCCGUGUUCGAAAGGGAAACAGCCCAGACCACCAGCUAAGGUCCCAAAAUAUAUGUUAAGUGGAAAAGGAUGUGGCGU
rnacentral:rRNA from 1 species